rnacentral:rRNA from 1 species
UGCGGAGGAAAAGAAACCAACAGGGAUUGCCCCAGUAACGGCGAGUGAAGCGGCAACAGCUCAAAUUUGAAAUCUGGCUCUCGGGCCCGAGUUGUAAUUUGUAGAGGAUGCUUUUGGUGAGGUGCCUUCCGAGUUCCCUGGAACGGGACGCCAUAGAGGGUGAGAGCCCCGUCUGGUUGGACGCCGAACCUCUGUAAAGCUCCUUCGACGAGUCGAGUAGUUUGGGAAUGCUGCUCUAAAUGGGAGGUAUAUGUCUUCUAAAGCUAAAUACCGGCCAGAGACCGAUAGCGCACAAGUAGAGUGAUCGAAAGAUGAAAAGAACUUUGAAAAGAGAGUUAAACAGUACGUGAAAUUGUUGAAAGGGAAGCGCUUGUGACCAGACUUGGGCUUGGUUGAUCAUCCGGGGUUCUCCCCGGUGCACUCUUCCGGCCCAGGCCAGCAUCAGUUCGCCCUGGGGGACAAAGGCAUCGGGAACGUGGCUCUCUCCGGGGAGUGUUAUAGCCCGUUGCGUAAUACCCUGCGGCGGACUGAGGUUCGCGCAUUCGCAAG